rnacentral:rRNA from 2 species
UCUGGUCCUUAGGGCGCGGUGGCAACACCUCUUCCCAUUCCGAACAGAGAAGUGAAACGCCGCAGCGCAGACGAUAGUUGUGGGGCAACUCACCGCGAAAAUAUGUCAGGGCCAGAC